GCUGGCUGGUGUGAACUGCUCAUUUAUAUGUUUUCUAAUCCCUAAACUAACAGAACAGCAAGAAGCACAAACAUACAUAUAAGUAAGAAUCAGAUUUAACAAACUUGAAAACAAAUUCCACUGUCUAACUGACAGUUUUCCUGAAUUCUUUUUAUUUCUCAUUUAUGAGCACACAUUUUACUUUGCAAAAACUCCCAGUCAUAAAUCCAAAGUAUCUUGCUAAAUAAUUCUAUUAUGCCAUAGACCAUAUAAAGAAAGAAAAUCUUAGACCUUGUCAGAUUCGCCCGCCAUCGGAUGCAACUGCUCUUGCCAAUUCUAGCAUGCAUUCACCCCGAACUCUGUAACCUCAUUGCGUGCAACAUUGAAAGUGAAAUCGAUCUAAUUAUAUUUGGCAGAGGCGACAUAGAUAAGUUCAAGAAACCAAAGAGACGGCAAAUAUAUGGCUAGUGGCAAUUCAUUUGCUCACAACCAGUGAAUACGAAAGUUCGAUUUGAUUUAUAAAUAGCCCAUGCACUACGUACCAUGGGGGCCAUGGGAAAUGUCGGCGGGCAGUUAUUAUUGGCAAAGUGGGAUGUGAAAUUUGAUGGAUUGAAUGUUGUCGGAGAAUCAAUGCUGUUAAUUAACUCGUCUCAUUGGUAAAUGAUGCUGAUAUGAAGCCGUCAACUGUCGCACUUACUUUUCAGACACCAAUUAUAUCGCGUAUCAAGCAUUCGCAGCGUGUGUCCAUACGAUCGAAUGCUAUUGUUUAAUUACAGCUCAUUUAAUUUCAUUUAUUGACAAUUAACACCGUACACAAUUACAAUCGUUAUGCAUAUUUUGUGCUGCAGUCGCGACCAUACGAUUCACAAUUCUAUGCUAAUUGAAUUUUAAUGGAAAACCGAUGCGAACCGAAAAGAAGUAAUAGUAAUCGACCAGGGAACUCCCUCUGUAAUGUGACUAAUCCAAUGGCAUUUUAAUGAUAAACCUCGGAUAUAAAACUCUAAUUUUUGUGCAAAUUAAAA